rnacentral:lncRNA from 1 species
GAAGCCUGAGUUCUCACUCAGCCCAGACGGUCCUUUGGGACAGAGGGAAUGGAAAUUUUGCAGCAAAAAGCUGUCAGGAUUUGAAUUCCGCUGAGAAAGAGACGCGGGACCCAGACUGAAGGAGAGGAGACGUGGCCUCGUUUUGCGGCAAGUGGAAUGCUGUCUGUCUCCUGGAUAGAAAUUCCUCCACUCACAGCUGGCCUCCCCUGCAGUCAGAACUUGCCCUGCUAAGCUCGCAGCACACCAGCAAGCAGACCACUAUCGGAAGCAGGUUAGCCUCCAGCCGGUGAUAAUUUUGUGAGCAACAGAAAAGGCAUGCCAUGAUGUCCUAAAGGUAAAUGCUAGAAUCUUCUCUCUCCAGGAGUUCCCGUUGUGGCUCAGCGGGGUAAGAACUCAACGUAGAGACUGUGAGGAUUUGGGUUUGGUCCCUGGCCUCUCUCAGUGGGCGAAGAUCCAACAUUGCCGUGAGCCGCAGUGUGGGUCACAUAUGCCACUUGGAUCCAGUGUUGCUGUGGCUGUGCUGUAGACUGGCAGCUGCAGCUCUGAUUCGACCCCUAACCUGGGGAACUUCCAUAUGGCACGGGUGUGGCUGUAAAAAAAAACAAAACAAAACACAAACUUAUCUCUCCAAACACAAGAGAGAACAGAAGAUAUACUAGAUACACUAGAACUUACUGGAAGAUACGCUGAAGUUCUGCCCCACCCUCAUGAAAACCGGUGUUUCUCUUUUAACCAUAAACUCUUAGAAUUCUUAUUUCGAGGGUCAAGCUGUCAACUUUCGAGGGUCACCUUUUCCCGUCUCUUUUCCUGGUGCGGUUCCAGGUUGACAGGAGAAGCUUUGCUUGUUAAGUGCCCAGUAAUCAUUUCAUCAGAAGGCUCUUGAGAGAAAGAACCUGUUACCUCUACUCGGGAGGGUGCCCCUUCCACAAAAGUUCAAACUCAUCACACAAGAAAUGGGAAACAUCACCAAUGCAGCGAUUUGAAUUUGGCAGAAGCACAAACCCUCUUAAGAUACUAGAUUUUCCAGUUGCAUCGCCUCACAGAAUGGGAUUCACCAGAUUUGGAGAGAGGAGCACGUUUUGGUAUCUAUAAACCGUGUCCUGUUCAGAGAAGUGGCAGUACUGGGUUAGGCAGAAACGUAACGUGUGUGAGGCUCAGGUUUCGAACCUCUGCUGCCGAGAGGAUGUAUCACCUUGGCCAAGGUCUCUGCGCCUUGGUUUUCUUUAAUGCGAGUAUAUCAAAGCCCGCUACUCGGUGCCUCUCCUUAGAUGCCAUGCGAAAACAGCAUGGGGCCCAGGAGUUCCUGCUGUGGUGCGGUGGGUUCCGCACAGCGGGUUAAAGCAUCCAGCCUGGCCAUAGGUGCGGCGUAGGUUACAAGUGUGGUUCGGAUCUGAUCCCUGGCCUCGGAACUCCAUAUGCCGCGGGGCAACCAAAACAGAGAAAGAGGAAGAAAAAAAAAAAGAGAGAGAACCUGGGGUUGAGAUUAGGAGGCAAACACUGGCUCUGGCCCCAAAUUUGUCAUUUACUGUGUGGCAAGACAUCUGAACUUCUUUGAACCUCAGGUUCCACAUCUAUGAAACGAAUCCCUGGCUACUUGAUAAAUUUCCUAAUCAUGAGCUAAUUUAUGACAAAGUAUUCCAAAAACUAUAAAAUGUAAACCCUUAAGGUAUUACUAUUAGUUGUAAGCAUAAUAUCUGUAAAGAAAGUUUCAAUAGUGCAAAAAUAUACAAAUGUCAUUACUGUGCCAUUUUACUAGUUAUUCUAUGAAAGCUUGGGAUUUCAGAGAGCUUUUUAUACUAUUCUGUUGCUCCACUCAAGGUACUACCUCUGUAAAAUUGUCCUCCUUGGGGACUAUUGUUUGCUGGUUUCCUCAUCAGGAAGCAAGUGCCACGUCGCACACUGCAAAGAGCACCUUGCUUGGGACCAGACUGCCCUGGCACCUGGGUUGGGUGGCAGACUAUCUGUGUGGCUUUUGGAAACCCACUGAGCCUCGGUGUCUUUGUCUUGAGAUCACUCGCUUUUGAGGGUUCACGUAUCACAAUUGCACAGGAAGCCCCGAGCUACUUCAGUGCAGAAUUAGGAAAAGGUACUUGUGUUUUAUGGCCUAGGGUUGACCCUGCACAUCUGGGUGCCCGCCAAGUAGAAUAUUCAACAAUCUAGGAGCCAUCCUGAGAUGAAUAAAUGCCAGUGGUCCUGCCUGCGGGCCUGGCAAGGUAUGUUUGGUUGGCAUGGUUCAUCUGGGGCAGCUAAAGUAUAAACCUCUAUGGGGGGGCCCGAGUCCAUUGCUUUAAAAUUAUCUCCUAACUUUAGAGGAGAGUCCUAAGCCCUAAAUGCCCAGGGAAUUAACAGACACAUCAAGCAUUUCUGAAUGCUCUUCAUAAAUCAGGGGCAUUUAACAUGAAAAAAAAAAAAUAGACUUUGAAGAGGAGGGACAUUCAUUUGAAUCCUAGAUUCAGUUUACUCAUGGGAGAUGUUAGGUAGAUUGAGCUCUCUGGGGCUCAGUUUCUUCAUCUGUAAAAUGGGCUAAUAGCCACUUUGCAGAUUAUUGUAUAGAAAAUGCAUUAAAAUACAUGGCCCAUAUUAGGGACUCUAUAAAUGGUCAUUGUUUUUCAUUGAUGAAAACAUAUUUCUAAAAUUUUGUGAUUAAUUGCAUAAUUUAGGUAAGAAUGAGUCUGAAGUGUUUCCGAAUGAAAACAAAAGUAUUUGACAUUUUUUUUCUCAGUUUUAAAGGUCUAAACUGUACAUAUGUAGAGCUUUUAUAGAAUUUGUUGUUCUUCCUUAUAACUUAUGUUAAAAGGAUAAAGGGAUUUUUUUUCUGUUUUAUGUAUUAUUUGAUACGGAGAAUUUUUCUGUAUUUUGGAGGGUUUUUUUUUUCUUUUUUCCCCCCAAUUUUCAUUUUCUUUAACUUUUUCUACUGAGUGAUCUAAAAAUCUAAAUUAUAACUGGAGUUGAUUCAGGUCCAAUUGUGUGCUGAAUUUUCAGAAACACCACUGCUGAAAGCUGUGUUUGCACAGGUGUUCUUAACUCCACAUUCAGGGCCACCGUGCUGACAGGUGAAACUGGCCAUAGGCGUAGUUACACCACAGAAAUCAGCAAACGGUACAAAGCAGGCCUUUAAUUUUUCCAGAGCCAAUUGUUUAAACUUAUAAGCGCACUGAUGGAUACAGAAUUUCUGGAUUUUUAUUUUCCUGGUUGGCUUUAUUGUUUUAAAUGUACCUUUCCAAAUUGUUACUAUUAGUCUCUCCUUGAAAUAAGAGCAAGGAUUUGUUCUAUUUAAUGAUGAAUCUCAAACAUUUAAAGCAAUAUUCCAAAAAAUAUGGGAAAUAAACAACUGUUCCUUCAUAACACAUCCCCGAUCACAUUCUUAAAAAUGACUCCUAUUACAAAUCUCUUCCAGUAUUCAAAGUAUCGCAAAAUUGAAGUUGAACUUUAUCUCUCUAAAGCAUGAGAGACUGAAGAGAUUUUCAGGAAAGAACUUGAUUUUCAAAUGCCAACUUCUAAUAUAAAGCAGCACAUCUAUUUAAAAAAAUGUAACUUUGAGUCAGACAGCAUUUGGUAAGGUCUAGAUAAGUUAUUCACAAAAUAACCCCCAGAUCAGGUGAACAAGUUGAUCUAUUAAAUAGAAUUGUUUGGCGUUAUCUGUCUGACGCCAAAUCAAUGAUCUUGACUAUGAUGUGUCUGAUAAUGAGAUGUCCUUCUAGGGAGUAAUUAAGAGCACAAGUAGCUUUUGGAAGAGAGUCCUGAAAUACAAGUCCCUGCUGUCAACAUAGAGAUUGUGCUUGCUUUCUUAUUUUAUGUUCAAGACUAGACUCAGACCUGAUGAAGUGGACAUGGCAAAGAAGAAACACUUUUGAGAGAUCUCAAGAAUACAAGAGUUGACCAGAAAAUGAUAGAUGGAUUCGAGGAUUUGGAAAGUGUUGCCAAAAAGUUGAGUUAGUGGGAGUUCCCCAGUGGGCUUGUGUUUAGGAUUUGGUGCUUUCACUGCUGCGGCCGGGGGUUCAGUCCCUAGUCUGGGAACUGAGAUCCCACAUCAAGCUGAUGCAGGUCCGGAUUUAAAAAAAAAAAGUGAGUUAGUAAAAUAUUUCUUAAAGAGAGUAAAAGUGGAGGAUCGGGAGUUUCCUGUCACCAUUUGAUGAGGAAGGUGAAGUGCCCAAUUUUCAAAAUGUGAAGGUUCAGGUGUCAGACAUUCACGCGGAGACGCCUUGGAGGAAAGCGGGGCCGCGAUAAGGAGACGCCGCGUUCUCCAGCACCGUCUCCCAGGCCAUUUGGCUGCCACCAGCCAUCCCAGGAGCUUCGAAGGCAGAUAAACACACCAAAGACUCAACGACUUUGCUGUUCCCAGCGGCCUCUCCUCAGACCCAGCCUCUUUCUCACCCUGCCCCACCGUGCCCUAGUUCAAAGAGCUUAUUAAGAUGCACCGUGGGGUUCCCUUUGUGGCGCAUGGUUAACGAACCCAACUAGUAUCUCUGAGGAUGCAGGUUCCAUCCCUCGCCUGGAUCACGGGUCCGGGACCCAGCUUUGUUGUGAGCUGUGGUGUAGGUCGCAGACGUGGCUCCGAUCCCACGUUGCUGUGGCUGUGGCUGUAGUGUAGGCUGGCAGCUGCAGCUCCAGUUCGACCCCUAGCCUGGGAACCUCCAUAUGCUGCAGGUGCGGCCCUAAAAGCUAAAUAAAUAAAUGAAUAAAUAAAAUGCACCGGCAUAGUAUGAAAGAAGUUAGAGGGUAUAACUCUGAAAAGUGGAACUGUAUAAAGUGCUAAGAGUCAGACUCUGAAGGCGAACUUUGAGUCCUAACUCUGUAGUUGACAGAGGCGUGACCACGGUCAGGUGACUCAUUCCUGCUAAACCUUAAUCAUCUUCUCUCUAAAAUGUGUAAAGUAAAAAUUCCCCUUAUAGGGAGCUUUGUAAAUAAAAAUAAAAUGGGGUCUAACAAUUGAAAAAAAUUCCCCAUUAACAUUUAAAGUUGAUUAAUCAUUUAAAGUCAUUGAUCAUCAAUCAAAAUCAUUAAUUAAAUCAAUUUACAUGAAGUUCCCCUCGUGGCGCAGGGGAAGCGAAUCCGGCUAGGAACCAUGAGGUUGCGGGUUUGAUCCCUGGCCUCACCCAGAGGGUUGGGGAUCCAGCGUUGCCGUGAGCUGAGGUGUAGGUCGCACCAAGGCUUGGAUCUGGUGUUGCUGUGGCUGUGGUGUAGGCUGGCAGCUGUAGCUCCCAAUUAGACCCCUAGCCUGGGAACCUCCAUGUGCUGGAGGUGUGGCCCUAAAAAGACAAAAGACAAAAAAAAAAAAAA